rnacentral:lncRNA from 10 species
GAUCUUUUGACCUUGUGAUCCACCCAUCUCGGCCUCCCAAAGUGCUGGGAUUACAGGCGUGAGCCACCGCUCCUGGUCAUUUUUGUAUUUUUAGUAGAAAGGAGAUUUCAUCAUGUUGGCCUGACUGGUCUGGAAUACCCAGCAUCAAUUGAUCGGUCAGCCUCGGCCUCACAAAGUGCAGGGAUUACAGGCGUGAGUCACCUGCUCGGCCAUGACCUGUAGCUUUCUUUUUUUGUUUUGCCCUUGUCUGGUUUUGGUAUUAGGGCAUUGUUGGAUUCAGAGAAUGAUUUAGGAAGUAUUGCUUCCUCAUAAAUUUGUUUGAACAGUUUGAGUAGAAUUGGUAUUAGUUCUUCUUUAAUUGUUCAGUAAAAUUCAGCAAUGAAGUCACCGGGUUCUGGGAUUUAUUUUUUUAUUUUUAUUUUAUUUUUGGGGAGACAUUUUACUACUUUUUCUAUCUGAUAUGGUUUGGCUGUGUCCGCACCCAAAUGUCAACGUGAAUUUUAUCUCCCAGAAUUCCCACAUCUCGUGGGAGGGACCCAAGGGGAGGUUAUGGAAUCAUGGUGGCUUGUCUUAAUAAGUCUCACAAGAUCUGAUGGGUUUAUCAAGGGUUUCUGCAUUUGCUUCUUUCUCAUUUUCUCUUGCUGUCUCCAUGUAAGAAGUGCCUUUUUGCUCCCGCCAUGAUUCUGAGGCUUCCCCAGGCAUGUGGAACUGUAAGUCCGUCCAAUUAAGCCUCUUUUUCUUUCCAGUCUCAAGAAUGUCUUUAUCAGCAGCAUGAAAAUGAACUAAUACACUCUCUGAUUAAUUUUUAUUGGUUUGUUCCGGUUUUCUAUUUCUUCAAGAUUUAAUCUUGGGCUUGAGCCGAGCUUUCGCUCACCAUCCAACACUGCUGUUUGCCGCCGUCGCAGACCCACCGCUGACUUCCACCCCUCUGGAUAUCGCAGGGUGUCGGCUGCGCUCCUGAUCCAGCGAGGCGCCCAUUGCUGCUCUGGAUAGGGCUAAAGGCUUGCCAUUGUUCCCGCACAGCUAAGUGCCUGGGUUCAUCCUAAUCAAGCUGAACGCUGGUUGCUGGGUUCCAUGGUUCUCUUCCAUGACCCACCACUUCUAAUAGAGCUGUAACACUCACUGCAUGGUCCAAGAUUUCAUUCCUUGGAAUCCAUGAGGCCAAGAACCCCAGGUCAGAGAACAAGAGCCUCCCCGCCAUGUUGGAAGUGGCCUGCCACCAUCUUGGGAGCUCUGGGAGCAAGGACCCCCAGUAACACUCCUAGGACUUGAGCAUGCCUUCUGGGGCAUAGAGAUGAGAUUUGUGAUCUGAUCUUGAGUGGAAAAAGAGCCCCCAUCGUCAAAACCAAGAGAAGAAUGUGGCAUGGGCCAGGCGCGGUGGCUCACGCCUGUAAUCCCAACACUUUGGGAGGCCGAGGCAGGCAGAUCACUAGGUCAGGAGAUGGAGACCAUCCUGGCUAAGACGGUGAGACCCUGUCUCUACUAAAAAUACAAAAAAAAUUAGCUUGGCGUGGUGGCAGGUGCCUGUAGUCCCAGCUACUUGGGAGGCCAAGGCAGGAGAAUUGCUUGAACCAGGGAGAAAGCGGUUGCAGCGAGCCGAGAUCGCGCCAUUGCACUCCAGCCUGGGUGACAGAGCGAGACUCCAUCUCAAGAAGAAAAAAAAAAAUGUGUGACAUGGAUUCAUGCUGCAGCAUGGGAGCUGGGUGCCCCUCCUUUGCAGGACUGGACCAGGAAGUCUAUAACCUGAGGGCUGGACAGGGAGUCCUUCAUCCUGGAAUGGCAUCACAAUCGGAAUGCAGACUGCUUUGGAGUGGGCUAGCUGUUCUAGCAUGCUGCCAGUGGCAGAUGCCAGAGAAGACCCUCCAGUUUGGGGGUGUGGAAGGUGGGUGGGUCCCAUGGCCCUCUACUGGGCUGUGAUUCCUGACCUGCCCCUCUCUCCUCCAUGAAGGCCCUUUGGUGUGAGAGAAGCACCUCUGCCUCUUCCUGAAAAGAUACCCCAGUGCCCUGAGAGCUGCUUGCUAUCUCCUAUGAAGGUCAGUACUCAUACCUGCCAUUGGAAAGCCUAGAUACAGGAUGGUUCAACUUGGCCCAACUUGGCUGUGUUCCCUCGACCCACUUCAGAGGCACAGCAUGGGAAAGAAAACCCUGGGUUCUAUGGUCCUUCCCAUCACCUGGUUUAUUCAAGUACUUCCAAUUUUUACAGAUCACACAUAAAUCUCACUGCUACCUUCUCAGCUGUCUCUCUCCUGCAAGCACCACUUACUGGCUGGGAAGAUGACCUGCACCACCCAAUACAAUACCUGUUUUCAGAAGUGCACAGGGCUGGGAAAUGAGAUAAGCUUCCUAAGAAAUCCACCUUACCAUCUCUGCAGGAGGCAGUGACUGUGCUCACAUACCCAGUAUACCACUGCUACAACCUACAAACAACCAGCAUUUGAGAAAACCACCAUACUAAAACUAUCCAUAACCAAAGAAUUCAUAGAGCCUUGGUUCCCUGGAAGCACUCAGAACCAAAGCCAAAGGACCCUACCAAACAUACACUAGAGUCACACCCUCAAAGUAGAGGCAAUCCCUCUCGAACAAAAGCAAAUUCAAAAAUAAGUAGUAGUAUCUUCUCCAGAUGAAAAGGAAUCAGCAUAAUAACUCUGACAACAUGAAAAAUAGACUGUUUUGAUGUUCUCAGAGGAUCACACUAGCUCUUUAUCAAUGGCUCCUAAAUAAAAAGAAAAUUAUAAAAUGACAGAUUAAGAAUUUAAAAUGUGAAUUGUAGGGAAAUUCAGUGAGAUCAAAGAGAAACUUGAAAAGCAGCACAAAGACAUUAGAAAAACCAUUGAAAAUAUGAAUGAAAAAUUCACUAAAGACA